rnacentral:SRP_RNA from 1 species
AGCCCCGUGCGGCGGAACGCCCCGAAUCCCGUCAGGUCCGGAAGGAAGCAGCGGUAAGAGGAUUGUUCCGGGCGCCACGGAU